UACAGAGGUCUCAAGCGUUGUUCGGAUUCAUUGGGCGUAAAGGGUGUGUAGGUGGCGCCGUAAGUGGGGUGUGAAAUUUCGGAGCUUAACUCCGAAACUGCAUUCCAUACUGCCGUGCUUGAGGACUGGAGAGGAGACUGGAAUUUACGGUGUAGCGGUGAAAUGCGUAGAUAUUGUAAGGAAGACCAGUGGCGAAGGCGGGUCUCUGGACAGUUCCUGACGCUGAGGCACGAAGGUCAGGGGAGCAAACGGG
rnacentral:rRNA from 1 species